UAUUUUCUAACUUCUCCAUUUAGCACCAGACAUAGCCACUAGAUUUGCCACCGAAAAUACGCCGCGUUUCAACGAAAGCAAAGAAGCUUUUCGCAAAGCAAAAGAAAAGAAUCGUAUCCUCCACCCCCAAUUUCUCACUUUAUAUGCCACCAAAAUCAAUCAAUUCAUUCAUAUUCAACUAUAUACACAUACCACAAAAUUAUAUUUUUGAGCUCGUUCCUCCCACUUUUCAAAUUGUUAACAGAUUGAGGAACAAUCAAAGGCUAAUGUGGUGGAGUUGAAGGUAGGAUUGCACUGUGAGGAAUGUAUCAAGAAGAUCUUGAAAGCCAUCAAGAAAAUUGAAGAUAUAGAAUCAUACGAUGUAGAUACGCAAUAUAAUAAGGUGAGUGUGACAGGGAAUGUGACAACGGAGAAGGUCAUUAGGGUUCUUCAAAAAAUAGGAAAGCAUGCCACUACUUGGGAUGAAUCACUCUAUGCUAAUUACUGAGUCUAAUAAUCUGCAUAUAUAGAUUACUCUUCAUCCCACUAAAUUCGUAUAUUAUUUUUUUUAACAAUAUAUUAUAAUAUCUUUCAUUUUUCUUAA